rnacentral:rRNA from 1 species
CACGUAGGGCGCGAGCGUUGUCCGGAAUUAUUGGGCGUAAAGAGCUCGUAGGCGGCCUGUUGCGUCCGCUGUGAAAGCCCGGGGCUUAACCCCGGGUCUGCAGUGGAUACGGGCAGGCUAGAGGUAGGUAGGGGAGAAUGGAAUUCCCGGUGUAGCGGUGAAAUGCGCAGAUAUCGGGAGGAACUCCGGCGGCGAAAGCGGUGCACUGGUGGAUUACUGACGCUGAGGUGCGAAAGCCAGGGGAGCAAACGGG